GGACAAGGCAUACACUGGACAAUGACACAAGGUUUACAAUCACGGUCGUUAUAGCCUCGAUUCUAGGCACUCCUGAAGGAACUUGGUAGUAUGGUAAAUUGUAUCUCUGUCCAAAUCUAUAUGGUCAGAGAUUAUAUUGUUACAGUGUACUGGACUCUGUCCAAGAUGGUACUGUACUAACUUAUGCCUUCUUACAUUGCUACUCGGGAAUCAAAGGCCAUCAUUAAAUCCUAGAUACUAAAUUGACCCCGAAAGCACUCUUUGCCAGGAAUACGAAAACAGAAGUCAAAGAGCCAUGACAAGGCACCUCAAAGUCUGCCUCACAAACUCUGCUGCCUUCCACUCCAAACUCUAACUCUUCACUAAGUGCAUUUAAUCAUUGUGACACACAUGUAUUUACCAAAUAUAUUGAGCUGCCGCCGUUUAGAGGUAGGUGCUGAAUUACUGGAGCCCUCUAUUUAGAGGUAGGUGCUGAAUUACUGGAGCCCUCCGUUUAGAGGUAGGUGCUGAAUUACUGGAGCCCUCCGUUUAGAGGUAGGUGCUGAAUUACUGGAGCCCUCCAUUUAGAGGUAGGUGCUGAAUUACUGGAGCCCUCCAUUUAGAGGUAGGUGCUGAAUUACUGGAGCCCUCCGUUUAGAGGUAGGUGCUGAAUUACUGGAGCCCUCCAUUUAGAGGUAGGUGCUGAAUUACUGGAGCCCUCCGUUUAGAGGUAGGUGCUGAAUUACUGGGGCCCUCCGUUUAGAGGUAGGUGCUGAAUUACUGGAGCCCUCCGUUUAGAGGUAGGUGCUGAAUUACUGGAGCCCUCCGUUUAGAGGUAGGUGCUGAAUUACUGGAGCCCUCCGUUUAGAGGUAGGUGCUGAAUUACUGGAGCCCUCCGUUUAGAGGUAGGUGCUGAAUUACUGGAGCCCUCCGUUUAGAGGUAGGUGCUGAAUUACUGGGGCCCUCCGUUUAGAGGUAGGUGCUGAAUUACUGGAGCCCUCCGUUUAGAGGUAGGUGCUGAAUUACUGGAGCCCUCAGUUUAGAGGUAGGUGCUGAAUUACUGGAGCCCUCCGUUUAGAGUUAGGUGCUGAAUUACUGGAGCCCUCCGUUUAGAGGUAGGUGCUGAAUUACUGGAGCCCUCCGUUUAGAGGUAGGUGCUGAAUUACUGGAGCCCUCCGUUUAGAGGUAGGUGCUGAAUUACUGGAGCCCUCCAUUUAGAGGUAGGUGCUGAAUUACUGGAGCCCUCCGUUUAGAGGUAGGUGCUGAAUUACUGGAGCCCUCCAUUUAGAGGUAGGUGCUGAAUUACUGGAGCCCUCCGUUUAGAGGUAGGUGCUGAAUUACUGGAGCCCUCCGUUUAGAGGUAGGUGCUGAAUUACUGGAGCCCUCCAUUUAGAGGUAGGUGCUGAAUUACUGGAGCCCUCCGUUUAGAGGUAGGUGCUGAAUUACUGGAGCCCUCCGUUUAGAGGUAGGUGCUGAAUUACUGGAGCCCUCCGUUUUGCAGCUUGACCUUGUCACUUAUCAGGAGUAAGAACACUAAACUCAGCUUAGGUUACAGAGGGAGAAAAGGAGAUAUGUAUUUAUAAGUGUCCACCAGUCAUUUAUUGAUUUGAAAGUUAUUUAUUUCAGUGUCAGAACAGAGAGUAGAGCCAUGUAGGGCUGACCUUGAGGCUAGUGCUAUCACGAUGCAGCUCCCUCUGAUGUUUCUUGGAGUGUGUGUGUGUGUGUGUGUGUGUGUGUGUGUGUGUGUGUGUGUGUGUGUGUGUGUGUGUGUGUGUGUGUGUGUGUGUGUGUGUGUGUGUGUGUGUGUGUGUGUGUGUGUGUGUGUGUGUGUGUGUGUGCGCGCGAGCGUGUGUGAGCCCUGGGAAGUGAGAGUGCUUUAUCAGGACAAUUACAAAGCACUGAGUAAGCAAGAUUGCAUUUCUAUACCAGGGGUUCUUAAAUUUUUUCAGCCUGGUACCCAAAUUAGAAAUUCCUGCGACCCAAGCUCCUAAAAACAUGCCCUAUUUUGGGGGACCUCCCAGCACGCGGGCAAAAAAUAUUUUAGAGGCCCCCUCCUGGAGGAGAGAAACAUUUUAGUUUUAAAGUUAAUUCCCUACAAUUCUACACAUUUUGCCAUGUUAAUAUGAUAUCUGCGAGUGGCUAACAAAAUCAAUGGGGACAGAGGUCAGGACCCCUGGGCACGUGCCCUGCGUGCCCGGGCGCUAUUCGGCCAUGACUACUACAAGUUUAGAUAGCUGGCUAGACUAACUUACCAAUCUAAAAAAUGUUUCCGCCAAAGUUGGCUCCCCUGCCUGUUCGGGUGGUGCUCGGCGGUCGUCGUCACCGUCCUACUAGUCGCUACCGAUCCCUUUUUCGUUUGUCUGUUGGUUUUGUCUUAUUAGUUUCACCUGUGUGUAUUUUGGUUUAAUUAGCUUCCCUAUAUGUAGUUUGACCCGCCCUUGUUUUGUGCGGGAUUGUCUUUUGUUACGUGUGUACAUAUUAGGUUGUGGUGUAUUUUGUUUUCUAUACUGGACGCCCUGUGGUUUUGGGUUGUCUGGUAUAGUGUCCUGCGCCCUGUAUUUGAUUGGGCUUAUCAGUUUGGUGUGCAAUAGUAAAGCACUUUACUCCGUUA